rnacentral:rRNA from 1 species
GGUAAGUUACUAAGGGCAUACGGUGGAUGCCUUGGCACUGGCAGGCGAAGAAGGACGUGGUUACCUGCGAUAAGCCUCGGACAGGUGGAAGCAACCUGAGACCCGGGGAUUUCCGAAUGGGGCAACCCGGUACGAAUAAUGUCGUACCACUCAGCACUGAAUUCAUAGGUGCUGAAGAGCCAACCAAGAGAACUGAAACAUCUAAGUACCUUGAGGAAAAGAAAACAAUAGUGAUUUCCCCAGUAGCGGCGAGCGAAAAGGAAACAGUCUAAACCUUGUGAUGUGUUAAAGACUCGAAUCCUUGCAUCACAGGUGUUGCGGGACUUUCAGACCGAUUUCGAGUAGGUCAAAGGUUACACUGAUUCGUUAGCUGAAUCAUUUUGGAAAACUCAGCCAUAGAGCGUGAUAGCCGCGUAAGCGAAAACGAUAGGACCUUGAAAGUAUCCCAAGUACCACGGAAUAAGUGAAAGUCUGUGGGAAUCUGCGAGAACCAUCUCGUAAGGCUAAAUACUCACCAGUGACCGAUAGCGAACAAGUACCGUGAGGGAAAGGUGAAAAGUACUCCUGACAGGAGGGUGAAAUAGUACCUGAAACCGUAUGCCUACAAACGGUAGGAGCCUCGUAUAUAGAAUUCGUUCUUUAUACGGGUGACUGCGUGCCUUUUGCUUAAUGAACCAACGAGUUGCUCGUAUCAUGCUAGGGUAAAUUCUUAAGGGAUGCACCCGCAGCGAAAGCAAGUCUGAAAACGGCGAUUAGUAUGAUGCGGCAGACGCGAAACUGUGUGAUCUAGCCUUGGCCAGGAUGAAGCAAGGGUAACACCUUGUGGAGGUCCGAACUAGUGUGGGUUGAAAACCGCUUGGAUGAGCUGAGGCUAGGAGCGAAAGACCAAUCAAACUCAGAGAUAGCUCGUUCUCUCCGAAAUAGCUUUAGGGCUAGCCUCGGAAGGAGCAUUAUGCUCCAUAUAGUUUGACGGAGGUAGAGCACUGAUUGGGGUAGGGCCGUCACAACGGUACCAAACCCAGACAAACUCCGAAUUCCGUUCAAAUGUUUUCCGGGAGUCAGGCAGUGGGGGAUAAGCUUCAUUGCCAAAAGGGGAAUAACCCAGACCACCUGCUAAGGUCCCCAAGUUUAUGUUAACAGACUAAGGAUGUUAAGUUGCUGAGACAACUAGGAUGUUGGCUUAGAAGCAGCCAUUCAUUUAAAGAGUGCGUAAUAGCUCACUAGUCAAGCGACUUAGCGCCGAUAAUACUCGGGACUUAAACAUAACACCGAAGCAGUGGAUCCGCAAGGAUGGUAGGAGAGCAUUCUGUAUGCAGCGAAGGUUUGAGGACAACUCAGGCUGGAGCGUACAGAAACGAAGAUGUUGGUAUAAGUAACGAUAAUGCAUAUGAAAAAUAUGCACGCCGAAAAUCCAAGGUUUCCUGAGCAACGUUAAUCGUCUCAGGGUUAGUCGGUUCCUAAGCCGAGGCCGAAAGGCGUAGGUGAUGGAUGACAGGUCAAUAUUCCUGUACCGCCGAAAUUUAAACCGGAGGGACGCAGAAGUGAAAGGAGAGCCGCCUGUUGGAUGGCGGUCUAAGGGCGUAGGAGCAAUCUGAAACCCGAACGGGAUGGCGCAAGCCUACAAACUCUCCCUAAUCCUGCUGCCAAGAAAAGCUCCGGCGUAUACUAAGGCGACCGUACCGCAAACCGACACAGGUAGAUGAGAUGAGAAUUCUAAGGCGCUCGAGUGAGCCGUGGUUAAGGAACUCGGCAAAUUAACCCCGUAACUUCGGGAAAAGGGGUGCUCCGAUUUAUCGGAGCCGCAGAGAAAUGGGCCAAGCGACUGUUUAACAAAAACACAUGUCUAUGCUAAGCCGUAAAGGCGCUGUAUAUGGACUGACACCUGCCCGGUGCUGGAAGGUUAAGGAGAGAGGUCAUUCCGCCGAAAGGCGGAGGCAGCCUUGAACCGAAGCCCCAGUAAACGGCGGCCGUAACUAUAACGGUCCUAAGGUAGCGAAAUUCCUUGUCGGGUAAGUUCCGACCUGCACGAAUGGUGUAACGAUUUGGUCACUGUCUCAGCCACGGGCUCGGUGAACUUGUGGUACCGGUGAAGACGCCGGUUACCCGCAUAUGGACGGAAAGACCCCGUGCACCUUUACUGCACCCUAGCACUGGAUUCGGGUAAUCUAUGUGUAGAAUAGGUGGGAGACUUUGAAGCGGCGGCGCUAGCCGUCGUGGAGUCGCAAUGUGAAAUACCACCCUUGGCUUAUUUGAACUCUAACCUCCAUCCGUCAUCCGGGUGAGGGACACUGUUAGGCGGGUAGUUUGACUGGGGCGGUCGCCUCCCAAAUAGUAACGGAGGCUCCCAAAGGUAUCCUCAGCCUGGUUGGUAAUCAGGUGGUGAGCGUAAACGCACAAGGAUGCUUAACUGCGAGACAGACAAGUCGAGCAGAUGCGAAAGCAGGGGUUAGUGAUCUGCCGGUUCCGAGUGGAAGGGCCGGCACUUAAAGGAUAAAAGGUACGCCGGGGAUAACAGGCUGAUCUCCUCCAAGAGUUCAUAUCGACGAGGAGGUUUGGCACCUCGAUGUCGGCUCAUCGCAUCCUGGGGCUGGAGAAGGUCCCAAGGGUUUGGCUGUUCGCCAAUUAAAGCGGUACGUGAGCUGGGUUCAGAACGUCGUGAGACAGUUCGGUCCCUAUCCUAUGCGGGCGAAGGAAACUUGAGAAGGGUCGUUCUUAGUACGAGAGGACCGGAACGAACGAACCUCUGGUGUACCAGUUGUUUUGCCAAAGGCACCGCUGGGUAGCUAUGUUCGGUUGAGAUAAGCGCUGAAAGCAUCUAAGCGCGAAACUCGCUUCAAGAUGAGGUUUCCCUGCUCCUUCGGGAGACUAAGGCUCGUCGAAGAUUACGACGUUGAUAGGCUGCAGGUGUAAGCUCCGCGAGGGGUUCAGCCGAGCAGUACUAAUAAGCCGAAAGACUUUACCUU